AUUCACAGUAGCUGGAACUGGCUUGAGUGUUUUCUUUAUAUUGUGGCUCUAUUAAAAGGGCACUGCUUCCUUUUUGUGUGGGCUUUAGUCACUGCAUUACUCACCGAGACCGCUGGACGGCUUCAGGCCACUUGAGGAGCGAGUGACACCGGAGCAGUUGACUGUGUUUCGCUUGAGCAAGCACAAGCAAGGUUGCUCAUCUCUGGAACACAGAAGAUGGUAUCGGAAAUGGGACAUACAUAAUAUCAGGAUAGGGUGUCACUAUGUUGUCUAGGCUGGUCUUGAACUCCUGGGCUCGAGCCAUUCUCCAGCCUCAGACUUCUGAGCAGCUGUGAUUACAGGCACGUGCCAUUGUACCUGGUGAGACAUGUUUUAUAGUUCCUCUUAACCCUAUAGCACUGACCUUCCAGGACAAUUCCCCUGUUUCCCUUGCAGAGAGGAGAGUGUCUCCGGAGACAGGUAGAUAAUAGAUGUGGCCAAAGAUGUGCAAUAGUGGGAGAAGACACAGGUGGGCAGAAGGUGAUGAAACCUCUUUUGCUGAAGUCAAUAUUUGUUUGGAAAAAGAGACGUCGACAAAGGUGCUUUUCAUUUUAACCUGUUACAUGGCUGCAGUGACCAUGUCCAUGUAUUCUAACAAAGAGUUCCAGCAGAGAAGAAUGCCAGACAGUGUUAGGAAGCCUCUGCAUAUUCUAGUGGAUGUCAGUGGUUUCUAAAUGAACCUCCCUAACCUGUUAUGUUACUAUUCUUGUUGGAACUCAUUGUCCUUAGAUAAAAGCCCAAUUUUUAAGUACUACUAGCAUAACUCUGUACAAGCUGGAUCUUCUUUAGUUCUUUAUUCUUAUCUCCUGGUACUCUCCACCUUGAACUCCAUGCUGGCUUCAUGCCAAAUGAACCUUCUCUCAGUUUCUUAAAUAUACCAUUGUCUCUCUCCUGUAUACCUUCAUGGAUGCUGUUUCCUCUUUUGGAAACACUCUCUAUCCUUUCCGCCACUCCAAUCUCCCCCUUUACUUGGUAAUCCUUAUCCUUCAGAGAAUAGCUUAAAGGUCAUUCCCACCAGCGAACCUUCCCUACCUGCAACCAUGAAGUGUGGGUCUGGGGUUCCUGGUGUGUGCUCCCAGGGCACAUUCCCCUUUCCCUGCCCUGGCGCUCCUCACACAUGGCAGUGUGUUUACUUAUCUGUCUGCACCACAAGUGCCCUGUUCCUGAGGGCAGAGGUCACAACUCUCCUAUUCGUUAUUGUAUCCCCUCUCCUGUUUAUCAUUGUAUCAGGCCUAACACAGUGCCUGGCACACAGCAGGGCAGGCUUUCUACAAAUAUUUGUUGAAUGAGAAAAUAUAUGCAUAAAAGUAUUAUUUUCCAAUUUGUGAAGCCAGCUUCUCAGAAAGAAAAUGGAGUUUAUGAGCAGAGCUUUCCAGUAAAUUUGUAUUUAGUCAUAAUACUACAAACAAGCAUAUCAUUAUUUCUUUAUUUCUUGGUUUUGAAUGGUAAUUAUUUUUGCAAGUUCUGAGUAUUUGCACCAAUUUAUGAAAUACAAGCAGUAAUGAAAUACAAGCAAUUUAUGAAACACAAGCAAUAUUAAACAUGACAGUAGAUGGCUCCUGUUUAUAGGUGAUGCCGGUAACAUUCUAGAAAUAAAUGGCUUGAUUGGAAACUUCUGUUUAAAAAAAAUGUGGGAAGUGAAGGGAAUGAGUUGGCCUUUAACAAAGAGAAAGAGAAUACGAUCAUUUUCUAAAUAUAAUAAAUAGAAUAUCAUAUUUAAUCUAUGUAUGCUUACAUGUAGAAAUAAUUUUUACGACAUCAUGAAACUGGUAAAAUAUGAGGCAGAUAAACUUAGGGGAAGUGAUUUUUCUGGUUAUGAAAUACACUUUUCCCCAAGGUACUCAUAAUUUUAGUUAUUUGUAAAUAAUUUUACUUCAUAAAAGCAUAUUUCUAAGUGAAUGUUUCUGAAAUAUUAAGUUCUUGCAAUAUCUGAGGUUUGUUAAGCAGGUAUUUAGUUAAGCAGGUAUUUAGUUAAGUUAAGCAGGUAUUUAGUUAAGUUAAGCAGGUAUUUAGUUAAGUUAAGCAGGUAUUUAGUCUCAUUUCUGUCUUACAACUCAGCAACCAGAGGUGUUCAGUGCAUCAGAAAGGAGGAAUAUAAGCAUGUUCGAUAGAGUGAUUCUGUCCAAGGUGUUUGCAUACUCAUUUUAUCCUUUCAGCAACCCCGCACAGGGUGCUCUGCUUAUUUUCCGCGUUAUAGAAAAAAACAUCAAAAUGCAGAGCAGGUAAGCAGCUUGCUCAAGACCACCGAGUGAGUUUGAGGCCAUCCUUAUGAAAGAAGAGAAAGGAAGAAAAAAAAAAAACAGUUAAGGCAAGUCCUCAGCAGAGGAUUUAAACAGAGAAACAGCCUGGAAAAUCAAGCUGCAGCUGCACAGAUAAGGGAGCAAAGCUCAACAUAGAAACACCUUUAUUCUUUGUGUAAUCAGCGGGCGCCUAGGAAAAAGUUUCUUUUCCUUUCAUGGACCUGUACAUGGUGGGCUCCCUGGGAACUUACAUGGGGCGGGGGGCUUGCCUAAAACAUGCCUACAGUUGCUCAGACAACAGAAGUGUUACUCCCUGUGCUUGCGUAAGACACGCCCGCAGCUGCACAGAAAAGGGCAGUUACACAAGCAGCUAUAUAGACAGGGGAAGUUACACAGCUAUACAGAUAAAGAAAGUUUCUUAUACAAACUUUUGCAUUCAACUGUAAAAAUGGAAACCCUCUUGGGACCCCUCUCUGCUGUGGAGAGCUUUCUUCUGUUGCUUAUUAAACUUUUGCUCCAACCUCAUCCUUGGUGUCCUUGCUUUUUAAUUUCCUUGGUUGUGAGACCAAGAGCUCAGAUAACACCUCAGACAAUAAGACUGCUUCAUUGACCCUAGACCGUUUCACCAAUGGCCUAAGCACUCAUGCUCUUUGUAACACACUGAGGAUAUGGUACAGAAAUUGCCUUCGUAUCAACUGAGCCCAGGCUCUUGAGCCUCAGCUGACGAUUCCACACAACAGACUAUGUCUGCCCCAUUCAAAUAACUUUUAGCAAUAUAAGCAACAUUAAUCAGAACAGAGUAUUUCUGGGAGCAAAAUAUAUGAGUUUGAAUUCUAGCUCCAUGUUCUACUAACUGUGUAAAUUGAGCCAGCUUUUUUUUUUUUUUUUUUUUUUUGAGAUAGAGUUGUUUUGCUCUUGUUGCCCAGGCUGGAGUGCAAUGGCGUGAUCUCAUGAGCCAGUUUCUUCACCAACCUUUUUAUUUCAUGUUCCUCAUUAUAUUAAAUAGGUAUUAACUAACUCAUUGGAUUCUUCUGAGGAUGAAAUAUCAUAAUGUAUGUAAAUUUCUUAACUGAGUAUUGAGCACAUAGUAAAUGCACCCCCCAAAUCAGACAUUUUUAAUAUAAAGCUUGAUCAAUAUUUUAUCUAUCCAUUAUUAAUGAUUUAAUAUAAUUGCAUUAAAACAAUAUUUUAUUGAAGAAAUAAAGAAAUAAUGUACAUUUACAUGUGCAAUAAACUAAACUAUAUAACAUGUAACUCUAAAACAUCUGAGCCCAUGAUUCAGAAUCAUUAGCUGGUUAUCAGCACUUUAGAAUCUGUAAAAUAUAUGUAAAUAUGUUUGCUAUCUUUAUAGUUUCUAUGCACAUUUUCACUUGGAGUAGAAAGGUUAAUACAAUGUGUACAACUGUAGUAUUUUGUAUUAUCUUUUUGUUUUCUUUCACUUUUGAUUACUUU
rnacentral:lncRNA from 1 species